rnacentral:rRNA from 1 species
GCUUACGGCCACACCGCCUGGUUCACGCCUGAUCUCGGAAGCUAAGAUAGGGUUGGGCUUGGUUAGUACUUGGAUGGGAGACCGCCUGGGAAUACCAGGUGCUGCAAGCU